rnacentral:rRNA from 1 species
UCCAGACUCCUACGGGAGGCAGCAGUGGGGGAUAUUGCACAAUGGGGGGAACCCUGAUGCAGCGACGCCGCGUGGGUGAAGAAGCGCCUCGGCGCGUAAAGCCCUGUCAGCAGGGAAGAAAAUGACGGUACCUGAAGAAGAAGCCCCGGCUAACUACGUGCCAGCAGCCGCGGUAAUACGUAGGGGGCAAGCGUUAUCCGGAUUUACUGGGUGUAAAGGGAGCGUAGACGGCGAUGCAAGUCUGAAGUGAAAGGCGGGGGCCCAACCCCCGGACUGCUUUGGAAACUGUAUGGCUGGAGUGCAGGAGAGGUAAGUGGAAUUCCUAGUGUAGCGGUGAAAUGCGUAGAUAUCAGGAGGAACACCGGUAGCGAAGGCGGCCUGCUGGACUGCGACUGACGUUGAGGCCCGAAAGCGUGGGGAGCAAACAGGAUUAGAUACCCCGGUA